GUUUCCUUUCUAAUCAUUAACUAUUGGAUUUGUUUGUAUAAAACCUUUUAAAUUUUAUGUUAUCGACAUUGUCCACUUUGUUUUGUGUGAUCCUCUCUGUCACUUGUUUAUUCAUAAACUCUUCCCCUAUCUAUAGAGCUAAAAGUUAGUUUUAUUCCCUUGCUGCUCUAAUGUGCUUAUGAUAUCCCCUUUUAUAUUUAAGUCAUGUAUCAGUUUGGAGUUUAUCUUAGCAUACAGUUUGAGAAGAAUUGUAAAAAGUACCACCAGUUCUUCUAGAUUUCCAAGUUCAAAACUAUGUUAUUAUUCUUAAUUCCCCACUCUCAUUUACUCCAUGCAGUCUGUUUUUGAAGUCCAUAACCUCUCUAGCAUCUGACUGUUUCCCACAGGCCCUUAUCACUUCUUUUCUAGGCUACUGUUAACAGUUUCAUAAUUGAUUUUCCUACUUAAUUCUUCUCCCACUCCACUCUGUCUUCAACACAGCUGGGAAAGUGAUUUUCUUUAAAUGCAGAUGUGACCGUGUCACUCCCUUAAUCAAUAAACACCACUGGCUCCUCAUUGCAUCUAGGAUAAAAUAUAAACAAACUAUCCAUUCUAGUUUUUAAAGCCCUUCACAACUUUGCCCCAACUUUCCAGCCUCUCUAUAUAUACUGUCUUCAUCUCACACAUGACAUUCCUUCUCUCCUCUCUAUCCCUUGCUCGGGGAGGGGGGGAGGUCUGGAAGGGAGUGUGUAUUAUGAUGAGUGUUGUCUUUCUACCUGGGACUUUGCUUUCAGAGACACAUCUAUUUAGAUCUUCAUUACCAUUACUAAGCUUUCAAACACGAUCAUUUUCUUGUAUUAACAGUGUUUCCUGAUGUAUUGGUAGAUAAUUCACUACUCUGAUCCUGAGGAGAAACUGAAUCUUAAGGUUUAGGAACUUUAGUAGAUCCUAACUGGAGGGAGUCUGUCAACUCAGUGGAGAUGUCGACUGAAAAAAAGGACAAGUGGACUGAAACAACUCUGGAUUCAGAAAGGCUUUUGACAGUGAAGAAGGAAGAAGGUGAUAAGGAACCAAAAUCUCACGUGCUGAAGAACACCAGCCCUAAACAGGAACUCUCCCGCCGUCUCUUUCGACAGUUGCGCUAUGCAGAGACUUCGGGGCCCCAUGAGGCCCUGGUCAGACUCCGGGAGCUCUGCCAAAGUUGGCUGAAGCCAGACACGUGCACAAAGAAAGAGAUCCUGGAGCGUCUGAUAAUGGAGCAGUUCUUGACCAUGCUGCCUGGAGAGACCCGGACCUGGGUCCAAUUACAUCAUCCAGAGAGUGGAGAAGAGGUUGCAGCUCUUGUGGAGGACAUAGAGAGUCACCUUGAUGGGCCAGAAAAGAAGGUGACAAUGGUCUCAGCCCACGCCCAAGGACAGGAUGUGCCAUGGAUGGGGACGGCAUCUCUGGCGGCUCUUUCUGUUCCACUUCUCCAUGGUAGCCCUUCCCCUGGGACCCUCUUGGACCCUGCUUAUGACGCAGUGAUGUUCCACCUCGAGGAUCCUCUGAAUGUUUUUCAUACUCCUCAGGUUCCUGCCCAUACAAGAGAUCAGGCUGUGGUGUCUCAAUCGCUGAAAACCAGGCCUCAGGAGACAGUGAUGUUUGAAGAUGUGGCUGUAUACUUCCAGAAGGAAGAAUGGGCAAGUCUGGACCCUGCUCAGAAGGUCCUGUACAGGGACGUGAUGCUGGAGAAUUAUAGGAACAUAGAGUCUUUGGCGUAUCUAUUUCCUAAACCUCUUGUGAUUUCUAAGCUGGAGCAAGUAUCUGGGAAUCUACAGGAAGCUCGGGACAUAGGUCAAAGGUUUGUUUGUGCAGGUGGUGAAGUCAAAUUUGAGAAAGAGAAGGUGACUACUAUAAAGCAAGAAAUUUCUGAAAAAUCACCAGCAGCAUCAUUGGGAAACGUCCAGAGCAAUGUUUCUGAUCAACCUGAGGAAAUUCUAAGAUGGCGGAGCUCCUUCCACCAGGACCCGUUGGUGUUGGCUUCUCUGAACUUACGGCCUUAAAAAUUUGCCUAGAGAGCCCAGAGUUCUGCAGCAGCCGGAUGGCCAAGUAGGUGUGUGUGUGUGUGAUAUGCUGCUGUGUACCGUAUCGUCGAAGUUGUUUUAAAAAAAAUCCUUUAGCAAAAUAGGCAAAAGGAAGAGUACUUCAGGUGGAAACACUGCCAGUGCGAAAAGGAAAGAGACUUGUUAUUACAUCAGAGCAAAAAUUUGAUGUUCCUGACCAGCGUGAGCGUUGUCAGAGUGACUCUGAAAUACCACGAGAUGCCAGAAUGCUUGCAUCUACAAUGUGGAAUAUUAUAAAACACAAAGGCAAGGUGGAAGACAAAGGUAGAGUUGCAUCAGCUUUUUGUGGUUGCGAACAACUAUAUAGAAUCGUUACAGUGAUAGAAAUGGAGAGUCUUUUAGUGGUAAUGAAAAAAAUCUAUUCCUCUUAGCAGAACAUCCAUUCAAACAAAAGCUUUAGGUUUAUUUAAAGCGUAAAAAGAAAAUGGAAAUGAAGUGGGUAAUGAAAAAAUGUUAACUGCAAAUAUUGAUUGCUAUGACGAAAAUAAUUUUAAGAGGUAGAUAAUACUAAUCAACACAUUUUUAAUGGGCAUGAAACAGACUUUUUUCUGGAAAAGGAUAUCUUCCAGAAUUUAUAU